AAAACCCCAAGGUAAACUAACAAUAGACUUAAGAAAACUCCAGAAACUAAGAAACUGGAAGUAAAAGGUAGGAGACAUGCAAGUUUCUCGAUAAAAAUAUAAAGGACUACCUUCACCACUAAAAGGAUCCCCAAACAAGGAAAACAUAACUACUACUACACCUUAGAAGGAAUAUCCUGCCUCUAGACAUCCAGAAGAAUCAUCAUACAAAUUUUCAAUAAGAAGUAGUCACCCAAGAUCAAAACCUUAAAUAAGCAGACCUCUUCAACGAAACCUGAUAACCUUACCCUCCUACCCUAGUUAUAAAUAAAGUUAAAAAUCCUUAAGUGGGCAGUAAUCUAAUAGAAACACUAGAUCCCAAGAACUUGAGGAUUAAAACAAAUAGGAAAUAAAUCUUCACCCACUAAACACUCGGGAUCAUCAAAAUAUUAACUCUGAAAAGCAGUAAAUAAAUACAUACCCGCACUAAGACAAAGUUAGACUCCUAGAAGAUCAUGGAUAAAAACCCUACCCAUAAGUAUAAGAUCAAAAGAUAAGACAAAGAAAAGAAAAGAACCCUAGAAACACCUUAAGUGGGGUAGCACCCCAUAUAAAGAAGAAAUAAAAUAUGUAACCCCACAUAAUAAGUACGGGAAUAAAUAUCCAAGAAAACCCAAUAAAGCUAUAAAUACAUAAUAAUAAGAGGAAUUUAUUAAAAAAGGGAAAUGAUCCCUUAAUAAAAAUAACCAACAAAUAACCCAUCCAAAGACAAGAUUUU
rnacentral:lncRNA from 1 species